GCCUUCGGAGUGUAGUGGUCAGCACGCUCGACGCGUAACCGAAAAGUCCGCGGUUCAAUUCCCGGCGAAGGCG
rnacentral:tRNA from 1 species